CAGCACAGUACGAUGCUGUGCAUUUGGCCCCUGUGCAUAACGCAUGGCGUCCAGUGCAUGCACGGAGCACCUUCAUUCGUUGCUCCUUCACUUGGCGGCGAACGCGAGGAACGAUGACUUAUUUGUAUUUUCCCUCCUCAAUGACUGAAUUCUCGCGGCAGACCGCGUAGCCUCUCAGAUGGAAAUUCGUCGUCAAUCAUCGUUUUGUGCCUUCGCUGAGUCUCGACGCACGGCAGACCACGCAUCACAGUGCCCUCCCAAUCGGCCAUAUCUGUGAGCUGGAGAAUAAUAACAGGAUACAGGAGCCAUGUUUGACGAGGUAGUCAUGAGUGACAGCUGGAACAAACUGGCCAAUGUCUUCGCUGACCGCUUCACAUUGUGGUCGUGUUGUUUGUGACAGUGGUAUCGCCGCCCUUGACACCCCGUUCAUCGGUCCCUGCUGGGCUGCUGCCGAUGUGCUACAUCAAGAGCAAGACGCCUGUAGUUUUAUCCUCCAGCGAGGGAAAAACAACCCGACUGCAUCCAACAGAGUUUCCUUGUGAGGAUGUCUAGCGACACCGACGUGCGGAUCCAUAUGGAUAUAAGGAGAUUGAUCCACGUUGACUAAGCGACAAUUCGUGUGAGUCAUUGCGGUCCUGGACCGGGGCUACACUGGAUGUGUAACAGGUACGUUUGUUUGGCUCGAGCCGCUCGGAUCCGGUAGUACCGGUCGGACUAGGUGGGGGAGGCACUCAGCAAUGGCCGCGGCUGAAGUUCGGAGACGAGACACGGUGGUUGCGGCUGACGCCCUGCGGUCACUUCACGACUGUGUUCGCCCACACGCACAGGCGGU
rnacentral:lncRNA from 1 species